rnacentral:rRNA from 1 species
CGCCCUUAGUAGGUUUAUAAUUAAGGGUUGGGCCUGCCCGGUGAUUAAUUUAACGGCUGCAAUUAAUAAUUGUGCUAAGGUAGCGUAAUAAAUUGUCCUUUAAUUGGGGAAAGGUAUGAAUGGUUUGACGUAAGAAAAACUGUCUCUAAGAAAAAUAUUGAAUUUUUCUUUUUAGUGAAAAGUCUAAAAUAGGAUUAAUAGACGAGAAGUCCCUUUCGAGCUUAAUUACAAGGUAUAUAAUAUUAUUUUUAAAAUUUAGUUGGGGCAACUCUGGAAUAAUAAUAGCUUCCUUAUGAUUAUAAUGAUCCAAAAAUUUUGAAUAAAGAAAAAGCUACCGUAGGGAUAACAGCGUUAUCUUUUCUGAGAGAACAAAUUGAAGAAAGGGUUUGCGACCUCGAUGUUGAAUUAAGGUUUCCAAUAGGCGCAGAAGCCUAAAUGGUAAGACUGUUCGUCUUUUAAAGCUUUACA